GGGCAAGGAACUUCAGUUUCUCUCUCCCUAAAUUCAAGUCUAUCAGUCAUUUCCCACUUCACGAGCACAUCACAAGUCUAUAGACCCACUCUCUUCCACUGACAUUUGUUGAGGCCCCACGGAAUGCAGACACCACAGUUCAGCUGAUGGUGCCAGGCCCCCCAUAUGGUGCCUCCUGCUUAUGCCCACGCCCCAGAAGUGACUUCAGGCAGCAGUCCCUAUUCUGAGCUGCUCUCUGGUGCCCAUGCAAUCCCAUCUAUUAAUGCUGAAAUGUUACUGCAGGGUUUUGUUGUUGUUGUUGUUUUGGAAACUUUUUGAAAUGAACUGUCGAAGCUGCAGUUUUUUGCACAUCCUUCAACUUGUGCAGAAUUCACAGCCGGAACUUACCAGCCUGAAUCCAAUCAGGUUCGCUAAGACACACCGUCUGAAAGCUGACUUAUGCAUUCCUACUGAUUAAAACUGCCAUUUAAUACAAGCUUUUUGCAUUUCUGAAUUCAUUUUCCUCCUUUCACUGUUUUCUCUUAAUUGCUAUAGUGGAAAACUACUUUUGGGAGCGAACUCUCCUGCAAAUCCUUACUUUAAAUUUACAUGAACACACGCACACCUAGUGUGUGUGUGUGUGUGUGUACUUGCAAUAUUUGAAGGAAUAUGCAUUUAAAAGCUCAUACAUUUCUAUAACUAGAAAGUUCUUUUCAAUUUACUACCUCUCUGGGCUAUCAUAUUAACCCGUUAAGGACAGAAUCUUAAAAACUUUGCACCAAAAUAUUUUAUAAAUCAUUUAUUAUUUGCUUAUUUUCAAAUUGCUUAUAAUCACCUUCUGAAAAAAAUGACACAAACAUCAUUUUCUGUGAAGAAAUUUUCUGGUGUCCAGAUAACAUCUGAAACAUUGAAUAUUUGAUAAAAUUUCCUAGUUUAACGUCCUCCCUCUCAGUAACACCUUUCACUGGAAAUUGUGUAUUUACUCAGUUUAUCCCUACUUGCUUCUCUAACACAAUUAUUAUUCUUUUAGCUUUUCAAAAACCCUGUUUUAAAAUUAUAUUGAUUUAGUGUGUCUGUCUUUAAUAGAGUAGAAAUCCUAAACUGCUUUCCUUUGUAUGUCACCUGUUAAGCGUGAUUGUUAAACUGCAAUAGAACAUCAAGUUAAUUAGAAGAGUCAAGACUCUAUCCCGGCAUCGCCCACCUCCGAAAUUCAGCCACUUCGUGGAUAAAAAGCAACAGCUGUGAGAAAGCAGAGCACUGCUAACAUUGCACACCUGGGCAAGGCAGGCAAUAAAUGGAAAGACUUUAUCUCAAUUUGCAGGGGCUUGUGGGGGUGGUGGUUUAAAAGCUGGAAUGUAAUGACCCCAUUUGGGAAUCUGAACCAAAAACUCAGGGUUAAAUCCUGCCUUAUGAUACAUGAUGGAUACAGCUAUUAUCAAAGGGAAAGUCUGCUGAGCACCAGGCCAGAGCACAUCCUUGGGGAGGAGAGAGAGGCUGCCUCCUAUAGCAUUACUGCAGGUACCAGCCACAGAGUAACUCCAUUCUCUUCUAGGUAGACCCAAGCUGGACCUACCAGAAGGUAGGCAAGACUGCGGGCAGAGCUGCUGUAGGGAAGCUGUCAGUCAGUAACUCCACACGAAGAGGAGCUUCCUAGCUGUUUAGGGAGGCCUCGCCCAGGCUGGAAGGAGGGAAACCUGAAAGGUUUGCUGAGCAAGGGCCGGGUUGUUGCCGCUCGAGACGGCCUUUUGCUGUGAAGCGCUCUAUUAAUUAUCCAUGUGGGCAGGGAUUGUUUCUCCCCUGAGCAGUUACUGAUACAGAUAUUCAAACAGUUAAUGAAACUCCAUCUGUAUAGGGCCUUCCAAGGGGCAGUGCAGGCUGAAUUCAUUAGUUUCAGAUGCGAGGCUUUCUUUUUUUUUUAAGCAAGGAGAAAACCCACAGUCCAAACAAACAGCAUUUGUAAAGUUCUGAAAAGAUACUGCUGCUGGAAAUAGGGAGGAAAAGAAUAAACGCUUUCGAGCAAAUCCUACUUUAAGAUGAAAACAAUAGUAAAGGUUUCCAUACAGAAUUAAAACCUCAUUCUGAAGUUACCAUUGCCACUGGCUCCCAAAGGACAAAAUUAACAGGAAACUGCAAAGACAAUGGUAUUUUCUUUGAGAGGCACUAAGAAGUGCUCCUAAGUAGACAUGGGUUGGACAGUAGUUUUUACCUUCAAAUGAUAAGCAAUUAUGGCUCAUUCCAGGGUAGAAGAAAGGGGGGUAAGGCUAAGAAAAGUAGGUUUAUAAUAUGGAAAUCAGAUUUUCAGGUGUGCAUAUUUAUCAUUAGACCUAUGCUCAAAUUCAGACUCAAAAUACUUUUGUACACAGUCUAACUUUAAGAAAAUUACCUAUUUCUUUAAAAAUAAACUACAAUUCCUCCCCUCUCUCCUCAUCUAGACUAUUUCACCUGAGGAACGAAAGGCACUCACUCCACAUACGCCUGACGCAGGUCUCUUUUCCCAGACAGUCUUACAAUUGAAGACUCAGUGCAUCCUGGGGAUCAUUACCCCCCGCCCCACACACACACACACACCCGACCCCCACUACGAGCACACCAUCUGGGUUAAUUUCAAAGUACUGAAUGAGGCUUCCAUAAGGGUAUGGAGAUGGCAGGAAGAAGAGAACUUAUGUCACUGCACAUUAGUGAAGUUGACAACCAAGCCAGUCAGCCGUGGGUGAUUUGAUUAAGCACUGCUUCAGGGGUCUGCCUCUUUGAGUUGCUGAAAACUGGAUCUUAGAAACUCAGUCUCUGAAACAACCCACUACAUACCCAGGGCACUGGCAGACUAUGGGGCUGGCCCAUCCUGAAGAAGGUGGACCACCAUCCACACCCGGGCAAAGCCAACAGCAGCGCAUGCUAUUAGAGCUAAUGAGCAAAAGCAGACACCUGUGAUGUAAAAAUAAAUUAUAAAUAAAGAAAUACCAGCAAACUACCUGUUAGUCUCUACCUGUGAGGACCUAGGCAGGCUAAACGGCACCUUAAUUUCUAGACUCUCUCUUUGAUCACAGAAACAGACUGUGCGAAUAUUUCUAUUCCUUCUUUUCUUAGAGGCUUUCUUUUUUUUGGUCCUUAAUGGAGAUCUUGAACUGCAGAGCCGCCGUGUCAGAACUCAGAUGGUUAACAUUCACUUCUUGCUGUUUUAUUGCAUAUUACUGUGCGCGCCUGAGCAGCGGGAGCAGAUUCGGGCAAUUACAAUCAAGUCAGGGCACACGCCGCGGCGGAGCAACACGGGCAUGAUGAGGAUACUGAUGAGGCACUUAUCGAAAACCCCGCAUCAUCCACACUCAUCAGCCACAACAUGUCACCCCAAAUGAGGCAUCAGCUGCCUUCAAAAGGCUCAUUGCACAGUGUUUACCGCUUCCCUCGGACCCACUUUUGAUUUUACGGUCAGAGCUGGGUUCAAACAGCAGCUGUCUGGCAAAGACAGGUCUGCGGCUUCCAGCAGCUUCCCCCAGAGUCCUGGGGCUUUGUCUGGAGAGCUUUGGGGAGCAGGGACCGGCAGGGCGAGGGGACGAGGGACGGCAGAGAAGCGUCCAGUUCCGUUUCUCGCAAAGAGGAAUUUUUUCCCCAGAAGCGGCCCUUGAUUAAUUUCAAGCGCUAGCGCACAGUGGUGACAUAAUGGGGGUGGGGGAGGGGAGCGAAAGAGGGAGCCUUUCACAGAUCUCCUUAAAAUAGUAACAGGGUGGGUGGGACCUCUCACGCAGACACAAAUCUCAGAAGGGUCAAUCCCUUUGGAAAAGACAGCUCCAACCAGGAGAGCCGUUCAAGUGACAUGUUCAACUGCAAGAUUCCACUCGCGACGCCAGAAUUCGUCAAGAGGUCUGCAUUGUUGUUUCUCACUGAGGCAUAGGACCGACUGCAGGCCAUUGUUUCUCCAGCUCAAGUGGGCCUGUCUGGUUCGUGUGGGAAGAAUGGGGGUGACAUGCAUGAGUUCCUGAGGAUAAAAGAACUACCGGUUCUAGGAAGGAACGGGAGUCUAGCCACUAAUGCAGAGUAAAUAAACAUUUUUCACCACCUCUUGCUCCAUGUGAUUUUUUUAAAGGUCAAGAGCUGCCAUUACAGUAUUUUAAAAGCUUCAAAUUAUGUUUAAAGAAUGUAUCACUGAACUCCCAGAAACCUUAUCAGAAUUUGGGAACCUACGGUGAUGGUUUGGUCCUUGAGUUUAUCAUCACUGGGAGGCGGGGUGUGAAAGAAAUGUAGAUGCUGCGGUGUUUCUGAUAUCUUGCAAUUUAGCUCGAAGGGAAGGUUGCUUAGGUUCUUCCAAAUUUUCUUCAAAAUUCAUUGAAGUGUUGAGACACUUCCAUUUCAAAAUUUCACACAGUCCGUAUUUUGGUCACACAUUUGGGACAGACAAGAAUAAGACUCUGUGGGCCUUUCACCACAAACAUUCUUUGUGUGCUCAAAAUGCAAAGAAUGGACCAUGUUCCUGUGGAGCCUCCAAAUGUACGUGUGAAGGAAAGAGAGAAGUAAAAGGCAGAGGGAGAUUUCUUUUUUAAAUUAAAGAAUAAAAAGCUUACUUCAAGGAAGUGUAGAGUAACAGCAGAAAGACUUCCUUAGCAACUGAGGUUUUCAGAUUUCAAAUUAGGAGCCCUUACAUCACGGCUGCCGGGCUAAAAAUCAAUUCUAUAUUUUCGGAGUUAAUACUAAGGAUUGCACUUAACAGACAUGGAGACGAAUAAGGUAUGCAGAAGGAGUAAAAGCAGCACACACACACAAAUUCAGGCCUUAGUUUUGGCCAUGAUCCAGCACAAUGAUGUUUCAACCAGAUUUGAAAAAAAAAUCAAUAACAUCUGUGGUAUAAUGGUUAAUUAAAGCAGCUCUUCAGCAGAGCUCAGGAGGAGAGGCUCGGCCUGAAAUUCAGACAGCUGAAGCUUGAUUAUCAGGAAAGAAUGCUUUUUUAGCUAUGAGUGGAUAGGCCAAAAGCUGCAAUGGGCCAAAAUGGAGAGAAAAAUUGCUUUUAUUUUAACUUUCUUUAAGUAAUCAAUACAUGCUUUUCACCUGUAUUAGGACACUGCUCAGCUCCAAAGCCUGUUACUCCACUUCAGCAUAAAUUCUACUUACUGUCUUUUGAAACUUAGGUUUAAAAAGGAGGCCCCGUCCCCUGUAAAGCAAAAGAAAAAGAAGAAGAAAAGAACAUGCAGGUGUGGGUGGGUGUCCUUGAGAGCAGUUAAAGCUCAGGCUCUAGGAUGCUCCGAAGGGUAGAAUCCCUAAGCUCUGAGCAAAGCUGACUCACCUUGGGGUACGCAGAGGUCAUAGCCAAAGUAGGAGGCUGCGCAAUACAACAACAAAACUAAAAAUUCUCAAGGGAGCUAUGAGGAGCAGGGUCAAUUUCCACCUUCUUUUUGCCUUCCUAUUGUUUUGAGUAAUGUGCCAGGGAUGUUUUCUUUACUUUUCUAAGGACAAAGAUCAAAGAAUCAACAAUGAUGUCUCCUGGCCACAGACGGGAAGGUCAGCAGGUGACUUCUCCACGAAAAAACAGUUGGUAACGCCACCGCUGACUAUUUUCUUGGCACCUUGCUUUGGCUUCUAUUUCUCGUGUUGUAAUCUGCAUCGUCACGUCAUUGUCAAAUUUGGGGAAGCAUUUGCAAAACCACAUUGCCCUCUCUGGAUCACACAAGUCCUCACAAGAAUACCGAAGAAUAAUAUGGUUAGUCAAUCGGUCAUUUGUUUUUUCCACUCAACACGUUUUUCUUCACAUUGUCACGCAUGUGCCCAUCACCGUGCUGGGUGCCAAGGUUCCAAAGACAAAUAAGAGAUGGUUCUAGGUCUAGGAAGCUCACAGCCUGUUUGAGGGAAGUGUGCUUGUGAACAAAUAAUUGCAAACACAGCAAAAAAGAGCACAAAUAGAAGCGUCUACAAGGGCUGUGGAUUUUGAAACUCCCUCCUGUCAAUUUCACUCGGACAAGGGCAGAGUGAGGGCUUGGGAGCUUCAAGGAGGGGUGACGCUAGAGCAGAUCUUGGAGGAUGAGGAAGAGUUCCCGGGCAAACAAGGGUGAUAGAAAGGCAGAAAAGGCAUUCCGAAGUUAGGUAUACUUACGUGAACUAUACGGAUUGGUUCAGAAGAAUAUACAUGGAAGAAGUGAUCGGAAGGUCUUAUAAAAUCCUUAUAAUUAAUGUCUGUAUUUUACAUCGGCUCUCCUCAUUUUAAGAACUAUGAGGAUCGGAGAUUACAACUCCUUCCUUUGUAGCUAUCACAAUCUACUAGUCUUUUUCUCUUUCAUCUGACCAUAGUCUCUCACUGGAGGUUAGAAAAUUCAUUGGUAUCUUCUCUUCUCUAAAUUAAAUGCAUUCACUAUCUUUGGCUUUUCCUCAGGAGUCCAGUUUUUCAACCUAUGACUUUUCUUUUUAACCUUUCUCUGAGCCCUUCUCAGAUUCUCUCCCUUUCUCCACAAUUUCAAAAUGUGAACUAGAUUUAAAGACAGCAGGUCUGCCCAUCAGUACACUGUAUAUUAAAGUAUGAUUUAGAAGAACUAAUAAUAAUGCCUAACACUUUUCAUCUUAAAAACGUUGGUCUCUGGGUGAAAUCCUUGCCCAAGAAACAUGAACUCUCUGGGCUUCUGUUUCCCAGUCUGAAAAAUGGACAGAAAACCACAACUAUCUCAUAAGGUUGUUAUGUGGAUUUAAUGAAUUCAUCAUUGUAAAGUGUUAUAAAUCGUGCCUGGCAUAGAAGAAUUGCUGAAUUAGUGAUUGGUAAAUCAGCUACCAGUACUUAUUUAGCACACGGUUCUCUGACCAAGUUUAUUUUUGUAAUAAUUUUGUGUGUUCAUUUUAUGGCCUUAAAUGCUACUCACCAGAUAUGCAACUCAACUCUUCCUUGCUUUGAUAUGGAUCAAUUCUCUGUUAUCAUUUUGAAUUUGAUUUUUGUCCUUUAUUAGCAAUUCAUAUUUAGAGCCAAUUAUUUGCUCCUCAUUUUUUAUUUCAUUAUCCAUGUUUUAAAAUAAUUUUAAAAUUAUGUUGCUAGAUUUUCUUCCCAGCAAAGGACUGACCUUUGCCUUCACAUUUCUCUGGAUAACUUCCAUGAUUUUCUAUCUGGAGGACAGACUCUCCAUUCUUGCAUUCGUUUUCCUGGUUUGGCCUUUAUGCUCUUUCUGGGUAAACUGGUAUAAUUUCAAUUUUUGAAGCCAUUUAUUUAGCACCCUAUCUUUAAUUCUUUUUAGAAUAAGGCAAGUAUAAGUAAAUAAAUAAAAUUUGAAGUGCAUAUAUCUUGAGCACCUACCAAUUUAGGCGCCAUGCUCUCUGUUGUGAAUACGGAAAUGUAUUGAGUAUUGGUUAGGAUUUGUUUCAGCUGCUAUUAACAGAAACUUAACUACAUGGCUUAAAUACACUCAGAUUUAUUCUCUUGUGUAAAAUAAGAUGGGAGGUAGGCAGCCCGGAGGAGGGGAGCUCCAAAAAGUUAUCAGGGACCCAGGGUCUUUCUUUCUCUCCUAUUUUGAUUUUCACUCAAGGUCAUCUCAUGGCUCCAAGAUAGUUGCUGAAAUAUCAGCUAAUAUAUUUGUAUCCCAGGCAGCAGGAUGAAAGAUGGAAGUGAAGGCAGAGACAGUAUACACCUCUUGCCAUUAAGGAGUCUCCCUAGAGCUCCCCCUUAAAGAUCCUGCUCAAAUUUCAUUUGCCAAAAUUUAGUCACAUACCUAGCUGCACCGAAGGCUGGGAGAUGUUGGUUUCAUUCUAGUGUCACUCGUUCAGCCAAAAAGUUAUGUUAAAGUGUCCAGAUUAGGCCCAAGAUGGAGUCAUUUAUGCUAAGCCUCAUGUCAACAAACCAAAACUCAGUUUCUGUGCUCAGCUCUCUUAGCAAAGGAAGGCCUAGGUCAACCAAUCAGCACUUGCCUCUUAGCACAAGUUACCUCACCUGGCUCCAAGACUGCCCUUUGCUCCUUAUAAGGAAAGUAACCUUGCAGUAACCAAUCCGCUUUUGCCUCCUAUGACUUCCCUGUUUCUGCUCCCUUCUGCCUAUAAAAGCCUUUCAUUUUGUGCUGCUCCUCAGAGCUCCUUUCUGUCUGCUAGAUUAGAUGCUGCCCAGUUGAUGACCCACUGGAUAAAGUCAAUACAGCCAAUCUUUAAAAUUUUACUCAGCUGAAUUUUAUUCUUUAACAGUCAGGAUUCUAAUGCUAAGGAGGAAGGGAAAGAUAAGUUUUAGUGUUCAACUCUGUCACAAAAUGGUUUAUGGCAAUGAGGGGCUCAAAGUUCAGAGGCAACGAUAAACACACAAAUAAUUACAAUAUAGUGAAAUGAGUGUGUAGGGAAGGAAGAUAAAUCCUUUACCUUCUAGGUCCUUCUGGCUGGUCUAUGAAUUAAAUUGGUAUGAGACAGAAUGACGGGAGAGAAUCAAACAAAGCUUUAUAACAUGCAUACAUGGGGGAAACCCAGGAAAACUGAGCAACUCGCCAGAAUGGCUGUGGUUGCCACCUUAAAUAUCAUCUUCAGUUAAAGACAAAGGAGGGUGUUGAGGGUCGGGGGAGUCAGUUAUGGGAGAUUACCAGAAAAAAACACAGCAAGCAAGAGUAUAGUUAUUAUGCAGAUUUAGGUUCUUGCCUUCUGCUUUGAUAAGAGUUUCUAGAGAUAAGGUCAUCCUCCUCUUCCUGGUACAGAGAGGGAGGUAUCUUCACAAAUGGAGAAUUCCCCUACAAAUGUAAAUAUCUCUUACAAAGGGUAACUUCUACUUGGUUUUCAGAGCUUUUCCUAUGUCUGCAGUUUAAAAAAAAAAAAAAUAACCAGCCAAAUAUAACCUCAUGCCAAAAAGACACAUCUUGAAGUGGCAAAUUCUGCUCCCCUACAAGUGCUAAUCAUUUUAAUGUAAAGUUAUUGGUAUCUUUUUAUUUCCCUUCAUUGAUAGAAUUACUCCUCUGUAAAAUGUUCCUUACUCCUUCCGCUGUCUGCUUUCCUCCAGACCCUGCCAUCCUCCAGGCUGAGCCAGGCACAAUGAAAUGUGGCUUUAUCUGAUUUCCCAAAGGAUAGUCUCCAUUGAUUUGCAGGGGCUUAUGUAAAUGUCCGGCCUACAAGUCACAAAUUAGCUUCAGGGUAGGGAGUAGGCCUUGGUUAUCUUUAUGAGAGUGCUUGGCUUGGGAGGUGCUCAAUAGUCGCUGGUAAAAUGAUUUCCUGUGCUUGAAAAAGUGUUUUUUAAAGACCGUCCAGCUCCUUCAGGGUUCUUUGCCACUAAAGAAGAAUGUCCAGCUUAGACCAUCUCCACCAAUGCAGAAUGGCUCUCCCAAAGUUCUGGUCUCACACUGUUGAAGAAAUAGCAUAUUUUAGGUAUAUCCUUUAAUCUCUCUGGCCUGUAUUCUCCUAAUAUUCCUAUCUUGAGUUUUGAGCAUGAACAAAUACGAAAGUCAUAUUACAAAAAUAUUAAUUUUAUGUUUUUUAAAGACUUCAUAAAUCAUGAAUUGACUGUAGGAUUUCUUUGGCAAGGAAAAAACGGUAUAAAUAUAUAUGAUGCAGAUAUUUUUUAUAGGAAAAAUACACUUCAAUGAAGAUCAAAUGAACUAAUAGACAUGAACAAUGCUUUGAAAAUGAUAUCAAGUAUUCUGUGAACAUAAGCAUCAAGGGUUGUACUAUGUUUGUUAUAUUAGUAACAUUUUCAUUAGGAUUUCCAAAGAAAGUAAAGGAGGGAGCUUCUGUUCUUGCCAUUAGGAGGAAACGUACACAAGUAUGAAACCACUG
rnacentral:lncRNA from 1 species